UGCACACAUCUUCUUCUCCAAGGUUUGUGUGCAGAACAUCCUGCCCAUGCUGACCCAGCAGCUUCAGUUGGCACCUGCCCCAGUCCAGCCUCUGGGAACCAUGCAGCAGCUCCCAGCGGCCCUGCACCCACCACCAGCAUCCGUUUCACCUGCAGUUGAAGAUCCGUGAGGUGCCCAGAAGAUCAUGCAGUCAUCAGUCCCACGGAGCAGCCCGCGAGGCUGAGGCUCCUCCCACUGGACCGCCCCCCAACUGGCACCACUGCUGCCCCUGCCCCUACUCUCAGCCUCACGUGACUCUCGGGCAGAGGCAGUGGUGGGGCAGCCAGGGCAGCGUCAAGAGUCUGAGCCAGCUGCAGGACAAAUUCGAGCAUCUUAAAAUGAUUCAACAGGAGGAGAUAAGGAAGCUUGAGGAAGAGAAAAAACAACUGGAAGGAGAAAUCAUAGAUUUUUAUAAAAUGAAAGCUGCCUCUGAAGCACUGCAGACUCAGCUGAGCACUGAUACAAAGAAAGACAAACAUCCUGAUCCAUAUGAAUUCCUCUUAUUAAGAAAAAUAAAGCAUCCAGGAUUCAAUGAAGAACUGACUAUCACCUUGUUAAUCAUUCAGAAACAUGUUGCACGCUUAAGCCAUUUUUGAUAUAGAUACUGAAACAAUUACUUGCUAAGAGCAAUCUUGAAGGUAUGGAUAAGGCCCUGAGUCAUCUUCCUGAGCUGAAUGAUAGUUAAGCU
ensembl:lncRNA novel transcript